rnacentral:rRNA from 1 species
GACAGAGGGUGCAAACGUUGCUCGGAAUCACUGGGCGUAAAGCGCACGUAGGCGGUUCGUUAUGUCGGAUGUGAAAGCCCUUGGCUUAACCGAGGAAGUGCAUCCGAAACUGGCGAGCUAGAGUACGAAAGAGGAUCGCGGAAUUCCCGGUGUAGAGGUGAAAUUCGUAGAUAUCGGGAGGAACACCGGUGGCGAAGGCGGCGAUCUGGGUCGAUACUGACGCUGAGGUGCGAAAGCGUGGGGAGCAAACAGG